CAGCAGCCGCGGUAAUACGAAGGGGGCUAGCGUUGUUCGGAUUUACUGGGCGUAAAGGGCGCGUAGGCGGACUGAUAAGUCAGGGGUGAAAUCCCAAGGCUCAACCUUGGAACUGCCUUUGAUACUGUUUGUCUUGAGUUCGAGAGAGGUAAGUGGAACUGCGAGUGUAGAGGUGAAAUUCGUAGAUAUUCGCAAGAACACCAGUGGCGAAGGCGGCUUACUGGCUCGAAACUGACGCUGAGGCGCGAAAGCGUUGGGAGCAAACAGGAUUAGAUACCCCAGUAGUCCCUGUCUCUUAUAC
rnacentral:rRNA from 1 species